ensembl:lncRNA
CCGGGGAUGUGAAGGUCUCCCUCCUGCAUGUUCUGAUGCUCAGUGUAAUCUACCACAUUCUCCUCUCUGCACUCAUCUCUCUCUGACACGAGGAGGAAGAAAAGAGCACAUGAUUCAACACUGACCCAGUUCUUGGGGGAGGUGUGGAGAAAGCCUGAGGACAGAGACACAGAACAACAGCAAGCACGGCUGCUUUCCACCUCCGCUGAUUUCUGAAGGCAUGCAGCACUCGCUGAGUGGACAAACCGACACGCUUGGUGCCUGCCAGAAACUGCAACUGACCCCAGGCACAUGGGCCUGGAGCUACCUAGCAACCUAGGUAAAGCUCCCUAAACACCAAGAGAGGCAGACUUUAUAGCUCUACUGUGUAUUGGAUUCCUACAUGCAAGAGAUUCUGCAGCAAAGACAGCAGAUGAAAACCCUAGCCUGCCUGAAGCUUACAUUAUGGUUAAGUAGGGAACUGGUUACAGGUGAUGGAAAUUCUGGGAAGCCACCCUGGAAAAGGGAAGCAAUCAAACAUUAACAAAAACAGGAAGCAGCUAACAGCCUUGGGCUAGACGGACAGCAGAGGAGGCAGCAGGAGGUGACAGUGCCAGAAAUUAGAAUCUGGAGCCAACUAGAACUACAACCAGAGUGAGGCUGUCUGGAGUGACAUGGGACCGUGAAAGGAGGGGAGCUGGGGCCAUGAAGAAGAUGCUGUCAGAGAUCCCCAGGUAGGGAGAAGGGUGGACAGAAAUACCCUGGCUUCUCCCUCCUCCCGCUCACCAGUCUCCAGUCAGACCCUUCCUGCCUGGAAGCCCAAGGACAAGGCACUGAGAGAAGCAGUUCCCUGCACACAGCACUGAGGGGGCGGGGGGGGACAAGGAAAGAGUCAGGAGCAAACCCAGAGGCACGAGAAGUGGCAUCUGUUCUGAGCCAAAGCCCCCAGAAUGACUGGAACUCAGGAUGUAUAAGGUGAGGUGGAUUCAGAAAAUUGUGAGUUUAGAGAAGUAAGGUAGACUGAGGCCAGAUCCCAUCAGCACAUUCUCUGCCAGGACCUACAUUAGAGCAAAAUAAUGCCAGAUUUACGCAAUGCUGGGCUUCCAAGGACUUUCUUCAGACAAUUCAGCAUAAACACCUCUGAACAUCUUUGGAGAAAAUCCAAAAAUCUGGCCUUCCAGAAACAUUUGCUGCUAGACUUCUUACCCCUAACGCGAUGAAGAGUGAAAUGAGAACAGUCAAGAUCCUCAUGGCUCUCCAGAGACUGUCCUCAGCCCGUGGCUAUGGGCACCGAGCUACCUGCCAGGAGCAAGGAUAAAAUGGAACACCUUGGUAAUCCAGAUGCAACAACAGCAGGGAGCAGCUGCUCCCCUCUGGGCUGCGGACAGGAAGACAAGAGGCUGGAGUGAUCAGAACCUCAGAGCUCAAAGGAGCGGGCCCUGCCCAGCUGGGAUUCAGACCACGGAGGGGACGCUGCCUGAAUGGGGCUGGGACAUCUGGGAGACGGAAUGAAGCUGGUCUGGGGACGCAGAAAAGCUGGAGGAUGCAACCGGCCACCACAGUCAGGGCUUUUGGGGGGGUACCAAAGGGAACAAUCGCCCAGAGCACGGAGAAAGGGCCUUGGGCGCCCUCCAGUCCGGGGCUUCCCCGCCCCGCGCGGUCAGACCGAACCCGGAGCCCCAGGCCAUGGGCAAGGCCGCGGCGCAGCGGCGGAGCAGGGCCAGCCGGCGGACGGGGGCUCGGGAGGGCGACCACGCCCAGGACGAACGUCCCGAGGAACAAGGGGAGCAUCACCCAUGACGUUACCGUCACACACUACCUGCCCAACGAGGAAAUUCAAACUGCUUACGGGAAAUCUGCUUGAGAGUAAGAAACAAAAUACGGCGGCCGGAGGCGGAACUAACUCCUGUUCUCAGAGGGCGGCGCCUGCUUCCAGACGAAUCUUCCCGGGACGCCGACUGCUUCAUCUCCGCAAGCCCUCGGACGUCGGGUAUGGGUGGCGCCCGGCUUUGUCCUCUCCUCCUGCGGCCCGCCCGCCUGCUCUCUGCUUGGGGUCGAAUGACCCCAGGGGAAGGCGGGUGGAAGGAUGCGAGGUGCGCAGGGUCCAGACCGGGCCGUAAACUCGCCUGUGGGCAAGCCCGUCUCCUCUCCCAGGGUUGGUGGUGAUGUCACAAGAUGGCAGCGUUCGAAUGAGGAGCCGGCGCCUUCCGCUGCCCCCCAACAGUCUGGGCAGGCGCCCCAAGGCCGGGCUUCCUUUAUGUGCAGCCUAAGCCAGACAAGCUAAGGCGGGGGGUACCCAGCAGACGCUCACUAAACGAUGUAAAACAUUUUCAUUAUGAAAUGCAGGUAUAUUUUUCCUGAUAAAUAUUCAUAAAAUAGAACCACAAUUCAGGAAUUUGCUCUUUUUUUCCCAAACAUGAAUGACCCAAAUGUACUAGGUCUCGCUAGGUCCUCUCAAGCUUUAGAACCUAGAACAAUUGGUUUGAAAAUCAUCACACCUCUUCCUAAUGGGCCUGGCCCAGGGGGACAUUGCUCGUUAGUGACAGGAGUGGAACAUGCGUCCAGGUCUCCUUACCCUGAGUGGAAUGCUCUGUAAGCAGAAUGUCUGCAAAGCCAGGCCCCAGUCCUGGCUUCCUCCGUUUUGGCUGCUCCGGGUGGUUUUGUCAGUGCCAGCACAACCUCAUGGGGCCCAGGAAGCAAAGAGCAGAGUGGUGAGGAAAAAAAUUAAAGGCAAGGGAAGAAACAAGCUUCAGCAAAGGCAAAGGACCCACAGAGAGGAGAAGAAAGGUUUGGUGGAGAUGGAAGAGUCCCUGAGUCCUAAAAUAACCUGAGGACCAUUGUCAUUGAUGUCAUACCUAGAUGCAAGGGGCGCUGAUCAUCUCGUUUGCAGGAGUGAGACAGAAAAGGAUCAGAAAGCGCUGUGCAUGAUGCAGUGCCUUUUAUGCUCACUUCAUCGGAUGUUUUCCUUUCCCAACAUGCUCUGGUGGGAGUGACCAGUGUGUGUGGACUGGAGAAGUCCGUGCAGGGGAUCUCUGACCUCCAGGGUUCUUUCAGCAACGCAAGAGGGCCUGGCCUGGGCUCAGGAACAGUCUGCCACCAACAGUCUGGAACUGCGGCUGCAGAGCCCGUUUCUCAGACAGGUGCCCUUGAGAGGUUUGAUCACAGAGGACAAGCUUGUUCGCCAGCCACUGCCCCAAAAGCCUGCAGACUCCCGGCAUACUUGCAAACAGGGAGGGACACCCUAGUCACACAGGAAGCUCUGUGUACAGUGAGGACAAAUGGCCUUCAUCUUCCACAUCCCUUACAACUGUCCUUGACCCUGGACCCAGGUCCUCAGAGCAUUACUGACAGAAGCACAGUGUUGCAGGUGUGGGGCAAAGAUGGCUGUGAACGAACGUACUGGGGAGCACAAGAGACACUGCCCAUGUCAGUUCCCUCUGCUCCAGUUGGCAGCUAAGUUUCUAUCAUGAUUCUAUAGCAGGCCACACAGACACUCUCAUGGGGCUAAAAGAAUGCCAACAGGGACAAAUUGGGGUCAGAGGGAGCUUGAAAGGAACUCCUCAAGCCACCACAAACAAGCAGCUGCUGCCUGUACCCCAACUUGGAAGUCACGAUGGGUCCUGUCAUGAGGGGGCAGACACCAGGUCAGAUGUAAGGCAUGGCCAUUGGCUGAGCUGGUCAGUGCUGGAGGGGUGGAUGGCCGCAGUCUGUGAGGCCUUUAAAAUGUUUUGCCUCUAUGUCGCCCCAAGCAACUUCUUGUUCUAGAGUAUCCUCUAUAACAGGGAUCUGCAUUUUUUUUCCUAUAAAAAGCCAAGGACCAAGUAUUUUUGGCUUUUCGGUCCAUAAAGUUCUGUCACAACUAAUCAACUCUGCCUUGCCACAGACAAUGUAUAAACCAACGGGAGUGGCUGUUUUCCCAAAAGAAUUUUAUUUACAGAAACAGCCAGUGGACAGAUGAAUGCAUAAACAAAAUGUGCAUAUACAUACAGUGGAAUAUUAUUCAGACUUAAAAAGGAAGAAAAUUCUGUCACAUGCUGCAACAUUGAUGAACCUUGAAGACAUUAUGCUCAGGGAUCUAAGCUAGUCAUGAAAGGAGAAAUACUGGAUGAUUCCACUUAUGUGAGGUUCCUAGAGGAGUCAGAUUCAUAGAGACAGAAAGCAGAACAAUGGUUUCCAGAGGUUGGGGAGGGGAUUGGGGAGUUCAUAUUUAAUAGGUACAGAGUUUCACUUUGGGAAGAUGAAAAAGUUCUGAAGAUAGCUGGUGGUAAUGGUUGCACAAUAAUGUGAAGAUACUUAAUGCCACUAAACUGUGCACUUAAAAACUGGUUAAAAUGGUAAAUUUUGUUAUGUGUAUUUUACCAUAUAUAUAAACAGGCAGUGGGCCAGCCCUCAUCUCUACUCCUGAAGGAUAACGCAUGUCGUGUACAGAGAAGUAUGACAUUUUUCACUCAGGCAGUGGUCCUGGUGUUUCCCUGGGACCAGUCCUCUGGUCUAUGAUGUGUGGGGAUAGGGAGAGAAAUGUGUAGUGUGUUCUCUGCUUCACUAGGGACACAAGAAAUGCUUUCAUGAAAUCAUCAGAAUUUUCAAGAAGUUCAGAGAAGGAAAAAAGGAAAGAGAGAAAUUGUUUUGCGGAGGAGAAGUAGUUAUUAUUCUAUUCUCAAGGACGGUCCAUGCUAAGCUUGUUUGAAGUCAUAAAGUUAAUUGUUUGUUCUCACUGCCUAAAAAUAUUUCCCAAGGAACUAAUGUAAUAGAAAACUGAAUAAGGUUCAGAUAACUACAUUAAACAAGUCUACAACAUUCGGGUG